AACGGCCGUACCAUGCUGAAUAUACCGGUUCUCGUUAGGUCACCGAAGUCAAGCAUCAUAGGGCGCGGUCAGUACUUGGGUGGGUGACCACCUGGGAACACCGCGUGCCGUU
rnacentral:rRNA from 1 species